rnacentral:rRNA from 1 species
GAUGAACGCUAGCUAUAGGCUUAACACAUGCAAGUCGAGGGACCGGCGCACGGGUGAGUAACGCGUAUCCAACCUGCCCAUAACUAAGGGAUAACCCAGCGAAAGUUGGACUAAUACCUUAUGGUUAUGGAUGGGGAUGCGUCUGAUUAGCUUGUUGGCGGGGUAACGGCCCACCAAGGCAACGAUCAGUAGGGGUUCUGAGAGGAAGGUCCCCCACAUCGUAACGGAGGAACGGCCCCAAAGCCUACGAGAGGAAGCAGUGAGGAAUAAUAGUGAAUAGACGCAAGUCUGCACAAGCCAAGUAGCGGGCAGGAUGACGGCGUAUGCGUUGUAAAAUGCUUUUAUACGGGCAUAGGUACCAUAUGAAUAAGGACCGGCUAAUUCCGUGCCAGCAGCCGCGGUAAUAC